GACUAAAAUGCCAAUUUUGUUUUUAUUUACUAUAAUAUAUUUAGCCUCCAACAAUUAUCAUUUUGGUGCAAAAGGAAAACCUUUUGACCCAUAUCAGCAUGAUCUAUGUAAAAAUGGAGGGACCUGUGUACCAUACAACGGGGAUUUCAGAUGUGAAUGUGCUGGAGAUUAUCUCCCGCCGUUUUGCGAUUUUUUCCAGGUAUACCCAGAGCCGUGCUGGGAGACUAACAGCUGUCCUGUUUGAGGAAAAGGGCAUCUUCUCCGACGAAUUAAAAGCAGAAAGAUGUGAAGAUAAGUUUUCGACUGGUAAAAUUAAAGAAGACUUAAUUUGUUUCCUUUGAUUGGCAUUCACUUUUCAAAAUUCAAAUAAAAUUAACUGUCUA